ACACAUAUGUCAGAAUAAAUGAGUUAAUUUUAAGAAUUAAUUAUAGAUAUAAUCUUUUGUGUU
rnacentral:tRNA from 1 species